AAUUAUAGGUGAAAAUCCUUUAUAUCUUU
rnacentral:tRNA from 1 species